UACGUAGGGGGCAAGCGUUGUCCGGAAUCAUUGGGCGUAAAGCGCGUGUAGGCGGCCCGGUAAGUCCGCUGUGAAAGUCGGGGGCUCAACCCUCGAAUGCCGGUGGAUACUGUCGGGCUAGAGUGCGGGAGAGGCGAGUGGAAGUUCCUGGGUGAUAGCGGUGAAAUGCGCAGAUAUCAGGAGGAACACCAAUUGCGAAGGCAGCUCGCUGGAACGUAACUGACGCUGAGACGCGAAAGCGUGGGGAGCGAACAGG
rnacentral:rRNA from 1 species